CUUGAAUAGACUUAUUUAAGCAUUUAUUCACGAAUGUUUGGUAUAAAGCAUAUGGAAGUACAUGGAACGAGUCGAGUGAUAUUUUAGUUGUUUUAUAUAUCCACCUGGGGGAAAUUGAAAAACAAUACAAAAAUAGACAUGAUAUUAAGAUCAGGGAAACCAGCGAUAUACUCCAGCUUUAAUACUUCCUGAAAUGAUCUCAACAGUUCUCUUAUGUGUUUUAAACAGCGGCUGUAUUCAAUAAACAACUUCGAAUGGAUAACUUAAAUUUAAGAAUAGAAUCUGAAAGGCUUAAUUUGCCUUAACGAAUAACUGGCAAAUAAAAUGAAUGAAAUUGCUCAGAGUUAAGGUUAGAUCAUGUGCAAUACUGUGCUACCGAUCAGCCUCAUAAGUUAUCUAUGGGGUACAAGAUCCAGCUGUUUAUAAAUAUUCGCCUUAUCUUGCGCAAAUCUGGUCGGAUUUCCUCUUGCGAACCUUAACCUUUAUUUAUUCCGGUCAUGUGUUUCACAAGAUGCCCACACGGAAACCAUUACUGAUAGACAUACAUGUGCCGCGCUUUCAAUCCGUCAUUAAUAACCGAUAGCUAGAAGUUUACCAAGAAAACAUUUGUACUUGCGUGUGUAAAGUUCUAGUUAAAACGUAUGGUUGUGUGUAUUGACCAACAACAUUAACAUUAACAUUAGCCGUGAUUGAUAAGAAUGACGCGGACCUGAGGAUUCUUACAAAUUUUGAAUCACGAAAUAAAAUGCAUAUGCUACAAACAUGUGAGACUGGUGGAUAAUCAAAAGAACAAUUCGAAGGGAUGAGGCUAUUACCUCACAGCGAGGUUUAUAGAACGAAACAUGUACCAAUGCUAUCCGAAAGGGGGCAAAAGGAGACAACAUAAUGUAUGACCUCAUUGACAAGGUGUCCACCAUUACCAAACUGGCGAACUCCAUGGGGAACUGGUAUUGGGAAACCUCGCCCUGGUGAGGAAAGAAAGCAUAUGCUUGGCCACUGGCAAUACUCGAAGAGUAUAUGAUAUGCUGCCAUGACGUUCCCUGGAGUAGAUUUAAAUUUGGCCACCACUAAGAGGAACCCGUAGGCGCGAUAACAAUUGACAAAUACUAGAUUGAUACACAAUAAGGAAGUACUCAUUUUACUGUGAAGUGUACUAGUGACUGGAAUGAUAUUUUAUAGCCAAUAUGAUAAAUUAAUGUAACUUUUAUUAUUCUACGAAUUUUUAUUUGAAAUGCAGAAUAAAUUCAGUAAGUUUUAUUAUGGUUAUUCACAUUGUUUUAAGUCCGUUAAUUCAACAUAGUUUUCGCAAGUAUGAAUUAUUGCGCACAUAAAAAUAAAAUAAGUUAAACUGCAUGUGACAUCUGUAUGAAUAUCCGCCUGUAAACUAAAAUUCUGCCAGUAACCGAAAUUUCGCAUGAAUCUGAAAUUCCGCACGUAAUCUGAAAUUCCGCCCACGACCGAAAAUCCGUCUAAUCUAGAACUUCGGCCCCUAAUCUGAAAUUUCGCCCGUAACUCAAAAUCAAGCUAUAUCUGAAAAUUCGCCCAUACCCUGAAAUUCCGUCCCACCUCAUUUACAUAUUUCGCCCAAGAACCAGUUCCGCCUCUAACAAUAAAUAUUAUAUUAUUCAAACUACGACUGGAAAAAAUCUCCGCCCGGAACUUAUAGUUAAAUUACGUGUCAAUUCCAGACGAAACAUUUCGUACGGGUCUUAACCGACGGCUUGUCCAUACAUCGUCAGUGCGCUCUGGAUGCCGCGACAGAACUCAGGAAUACAAAGAUUCUGGCAAUAGGUAUCGGCUUGGAGGUUUCACACGAUGAGCUGCUGGGCAUGGCCUCCCCGGGGGACGAUCUGGCUUCCGAAUACAUGUUUUCCGUGCACAACUUAAACGCCCUCUAUACAGUCAUACAGCAACUGGUUGCCCUCACAUGCGACGAGUGUUUGUGGAACACGUCAAGUGAUGUUACAGUUCUACCUGAUAUGAGGUCAGGAAUCAGUGACCUAACCUUUAGUCAAGCAGUAGAUGCACUGGCGUACGUAUUGACAGAAACGCUAGAUAAAAGCUACAACGUCACGGUCCGUCUCGCUAUAGUUUCGUAUGAUGAUGAAAGGGUACAAAUCCACCGUUAUCUGACAGACACGGCGACCACUGACACCUUGGUCCGCUAUAUACAGACGUUAACAGCGACUCGUGCAUGUGCCGUAGGAAGUAGUGGAUCUUGUGGUACUUUUAACAUGAACACACUAGAUAAAGCAGAGGGUUAAUUUAGUGAAAGUAAAAAUGAAACUCGACAGACUAUUAUCCUGUUCACGAAUGGUGAUCUUCGUGUCCCUUCAGGGCCUAACUCGACCCUUGCCAGACUGAAAGUGUCAGGCAGGCUGUUGUUGGUGAUAGGGGUUGGGGAGAAAUUUUGAGGUUUGGUCUGUUCAAGGGCUAGUUAUCGACGCGGCGUACGUUUUUGUGCCUCGUUUUUUGGGAUCCAUACAAACUUUGGACGUGAUUACCACGGACAUUUUCCAUAGCUGACAUGCGAACAUUUAAAUUACUUUUGAAAAACAACAAAUGUCUUUAUUUUAAAAUGUAACACAUAAAGAUAUAGGCACCAUAUUAUAAAAAAACAUAGCACACGUCUUAUAUACAAUGUGGCCUUCUGAAAGAACACACAAACACACAAUUGUUUUAUCAUGAAAUAAAACUGGAAUAAAUGAUCAUUUUGACAUGGACAAAAAUGACUUGAAUGAAAACGUAAGCAUGAAUGUAUGUUAUUUCAAAAUGGUACGUAUUAAAACAAGUACGAAAACAUAAAGCAUCAUGAACAUUUUACAUCAAUUUAGCACAUCAAUCCCUCAAUUUGUACCUAAAUGUUACAAGAAAUCUCAUUAAAAUUAAUGAACUGAGUAAGUAGGACAGUCACACAUGUAUAAAUCUUACUUAUCAUAUACACAAGUUUUAAACUAUCUGCAUGGAUUUGUGCAUACAAUUCUUACAACAGUUUUUGCAAUUGAUGAUGUAAAAAUAACUUCUUGCAACAGGCUUAAACUGUCUUCCGUGUUAGAUUUACGUAUUCCUGUCGGUAAAAAGUCCUAAACGUUCCCAUGCACUGUAGCAUACAAACGAGUGUUUCUUGUAUUUUGUUCUAUGUCUAAUGUGAGCAAUGUCUUGUUUGAUUUGAUUUAAACGUAUUUUAUUGCAUUUUUUCUUUCAACAUGAUCGGUAUUUACAACAAUGAUAUAGAGUAUACAAAGAGCAAAUGGGUUGGACACAAGUUCUAACAACAACAAACUCAAUCGUAAUCCAUAUCUUGUAUUGUUAGAUUAUCUUAUUAACACCAUGAUGGUCUUAAAAUACGUUCGGUGUACUGAUAUUUAAUAUAAACAAAAUAUGUCAGUUGUUUAACGGUGUAUUUGUGUGUAUUUGAACUUAGUAUGAAUGUUGUUCUGAUUGUCAGUUUGGAUUGGAUUCUAGUGUUCUUGACAACAAUAAUAGUAUUCUUAAUUUUGUCAUCGUCUAUAAGCAGUUAAACUUGUAAAGAAGUAACAUGCGUCAGGAAGUUAUUCAGAUAACUUGGAAGCUUCCUCUAAUGUAAACCCUAUUUUUUUUUUACUUUUUUAAAUUGAUUUAUUCGUAAUAUAUUUGAUUUUUAUUAAGAAUUGACAUUCCAUAAUUUAACAAUCACUAAGCUGAUAAAUACAUGCUAUGACCUUGACACUUGCCGUAUGAGUAAGACAUGCAUUUCGAAAUAGCAUUGUUGACUGUGAUCACUGUCCGAUCAAUAUCAGUUAUAAAUGGGUCAUAGUAGAUAAUUGUUACGAUUACGCAAUACGGUUUUGAACAAGGAAGUAAUUGUAUCUAUAUCUUUAUGGCCAAAUUUACAUUUUCUCUUUUAAUCGUUGAUGACAAAUACAUUUGAAAAUACUAGGGACUCCGAAAUGAGGAAUUUAAUAUUGAUAAUUCUCCCCUGAGACUGAAAAUAAGUGACGGAGUGCUUCUUUUUGUUUAUUGCUCCUGCCAUAAAUAUGAGCAUGAAUAUAUUAAUUGAAACCUUCACGGUAAUGAUUAAAGAUGCACUUUUACUCCACAAUAAGAUUUACCAAAAUUAAAACCAUUGUUUAAAUAUACCAAAAAAGAUGAAUAAAUGUCAAAAACAAUGGUUCUUAUGAAAUAUAUCGAGUUUAAAUUGAAAGAAAGCUGCAGAAAACGCGGGUUUUCAAACUUAUGAGAUGAUAGUAGAUCGGAGUAAAUCUUUUGGCACUCACCAAUCAUUUAAUAUUUUUGCGUUUUCAGCUAUCAAAUACACUGUUUCAAUCUUGUUAUCAGUAAUUCAUAUUUUCCAUAAAUGCAUUAUCUAGUAAGUAGUUAAAGGUUUAUCACUCAAACAUUAUAUUUGUUAUACAUAUGUAUGUAUUGGUUUUGAAUAAAAGUGUCACUUUAA